GACGAACGCUGGCGGCGUGCUUAACACAUGCAAGUCGAACGGAAAGGCCCCUUUGGGGGUACUCGAGUGGCGAACGGGUGCGUAACACGUGAGUAACCUGCCCUUGACUUCGGGAUAACUUCAGGAAACUGGGGCUAAUACCGGAUAGGAAUCCUUGCUGCAUGGUGGGGGUUGGAAAGCUUCGGCGGUUUUGGAUGGACUCGCGGCUUAUCAGCUUGUUGGUGGGGUAGUGGCUUACCAAGGCUUUGACGGGUAGCCGGCCUGAGAGGGCGACCGGCCACAUUGGGACUGAGAUACGGCCCAGACUCCUACGGGAGGCAGCAGGGGGGAAUAUUGCACAAUGGGCGGAAGCCUGAUGCAGCAACGCCGCGUGCGGGAUGACGGCCUUGGGGUUGUAAAACGCUUUCAGCAGGGGCGAAGCUUGUGGUGACGGUACCUGCAGAAGAAGCACCGGCUAACUACGUG
rnacentral:rRNA from 1 species